AUUGAACGCUGGCGGCAUGCUUUACACAUGCAAGUCGAACGGUAACAGGCCGCAAGGUGCUGACGAGUGGCGAACGGGUGAGUAAUGCAUCGGAACGUGCCCAGUCGUGGGGGAUAACGCAGCGAAAGCUGCGCUAAUACCGCAUACGAUCUAUGGAUGAAAGCGGGGGACCGUAAGGCCUCGCGCGAUUGGAGCGGCCGAUGUCAGAUUAGGUAGUUGGUGGGGUAAAGGCUAACCAAGCCAACGAUCUGUAGCUGGUCUGAGAGGACGACCAGCCACACUGGGACUGAGACACGGCCCAGACUCCUACGGGAGGCAGCAGUGGGGAAUUUUGGACAAUGGGCGCAAGCCUGAUCCAGCAAUGCCGCGUGCAGGAAGAAGGCCUUCGGGUUGUAAACUGCUUUUGUACGGAACGAAAAGGCUCUGGUUAAUACCUGGGGCUCAUGACGGUACCGUAAGAAUAAGCACCGGCUAACUACGUGCCAGCCGCCGCUGUAA
rnacentral:rRNA from 1 species